rnacentral:rRNA from 1 species
ACACAUGCAGUCGAGCGGAAACGAGUUAACUGAACCUUCGGGGAACGUUAACGGCGUCGAGCGGCGGACGGGUGAGUAAUGCCUAGGAAAUUGCCCUGAUGUGGGGGAUAACCAUUGGAAACGAUGGCUAAUACCGCAUAAUGCCUUCGGGCCAAAGAGGGGGACCUUCGGGCCUCUCGCGUCAGGAUAUGCCUAGGUGGGAUUAGCUAGUUGGUGAGGUAAGGGCUCACCAAGGCGACGAUCCCUAGCUGGUCUGAGAGGAUGAUCAGCCACACUGGAACUGAGACACGGUCCAGACUCCUACGGGAGGCAGCAGUGGGGAAUAUUGCACAAUGGGCGCAAGCCUGAUGCAGCCAUGCCGCGUGUAUGAAGAAGGCCUUCGGGUUGUAAAGUACUUUCAGCAGUGAGGAAGGUGGUGUAGUUAAUAACUGCAUCAUUUGACGUUAGCUGCAGAAGAAGCACCGGCUAACUCCGUGCCAGCAGCCGCGGUAAUACGGAGGGUGCGAGCGUUAAUCGGAAUUACUGGGCGUAAAGCGCAUGCAGGUGGUUUGUUAAGUCAGAUGUGAAAGCCCGGGGCUCAACCUCGGAAUUGCAUUUGAAACUGGCAGACUAGAGUACUGUAGAGGGGGGUAGAAUUUCAGGUGUAGCGGUGAAAUGCGUAGAGAUCUGAAGGAAUACCGGUGGCGAAGGCGGCCCCCUGGACAGAUACUGACACUCAGAUGCGAAAGCGUGGGGAGCAAACAGGAUUAGAUACCCUGGUAGUCCACGCCGUAAACGAUGUCUACUUGGAGGUUGUGGCCUUGAGCCGUGGCUUUCGGAGCUAACGCGUUAAGUAGACCGCCUGGGGAGUACGGUCGCAAGAUUAAAACUCAAAUGAAUUGACGGGGGCCCGCACAAGCGGUGGAGCAUGUGGUUUAAUUCGAUGCAACGCGAAGAACCUUACCUACUCUUGACAUCCAGAGAAGCCAGUAGAGAUACAGGUGUGCCUUCGGGAACUCUGAGACAGGUGCUGCAUGGCUGUCGUCAGCUCGUGUUGUGAAAUGUUGGGUUAAGUCCCGCAACGAGCGCAACCCUUAUCCUUGUUUGCCAGCGAGUAAUGUCGGGAACUCCAGGGAGACUGCCGGUGAUAAACCGGAGGAAGGUGGGGACGACGUCAAGUCAUCAUGGCCCUUACGAGUAGGGCUACACACGUGCUACAAUGGCGCAUACAGAGGGCAGCAAGCUAGCGAUAGUGAGCGAAUCCCAAAAAGUGCGUCGUAGUCCGGAUUGGAGUCUGCAACUCGACUCCAUGAAGUCGGAAUCGCUAGUAAUCGUGGAUCAGAAUGCCACGGUGAAUACGUUCCCGGGCCUUGUACACACCGCCCGUCACACCAUGGGAGUGGGCUGCAAAAGAAGUAGGUAGUUUAACUUCGGGAGAACGCUUACCACUUU